UACGUAGGGUGCGAGCGUUGUCCGGAAUUAUUGGGCGUAAAGAGCUCGUAGGCGGUCUGUCGCGUCGGUCGUGAAAACUUGGGGCUUAACCCUGAGCUUGCGGUCGAUACGGGCAUGACUGGAGUUCGGCAGGGGAGACUGGAAUUCCUGGUGUAGCGGUGAAAUGCGCAGAUAUCAGGAGGAACACCGGUGGCGAAGGCGGGUCUCUGGGCCGGUACUGACGCUGAGACGCGAAAGCGUGGGGAGCAAACAGG
rnacentral:rRNA from 1 species